rnacentral:lncRNA from 1 species
GGUGUGUGGUGGGAAAGACUGUAGCCUUGUUGACUUUGUGUUAAUCAUCACACCUGCUUAAGGAAGUACCAGAGAGACAGGCAGAUUUGCAGGCUAAUGAAAUGCAGGCCUAGAUGGAACAGAGCAAUAGAUCUGUCAAAUAUCUCUGCACAGACAGCAAGUGGUAUGGCUAGCAGCUGRUAUGAUUACCAGGGAACAUGUACUGAGGGAGGGUCAACAAUCAAAAGUGAAGCUCUGAGGUGGCCGCCGCUGUGGAUGAUAGAAAGGAGGAACAAUUAGGGAAGGAGGGGGAGAAUCAGAAAACAUCGAAGAAAAGCUAUGAAGAAAAGCRUGGUCAGCAGUAGCUGGCAGGUUGCAGUGGAAGAGGCUGGUUUAGAGCUACUCCUGAGCUGUGCUUUGAACCAGAUCACUAGACAUCCUGGCUCUUUGUGUGAACAGCAGGAAGGACUAAAAUGGUGUGGAGAAGAAGAGAAAAAGGAAGAAAUAUCUUGCAAGAUUGUUUAUGGAAUGACACCAAGAAAGGCUCUGGAGAUGGAAGGCUAGUUAGAAAGGACAGCAUCACAAUGGCCCAAAAUACAUUCCUCYGCACCCCAGCCCCCACCCAUCUUCUCCAAACCACAAAGGCAAGUGUUCAGUGAUGAUUUCUCAAUGUCUAUUUCUCUUUUUCAGUACUGGCRAAAAUGGCAUAAGUAAUCAUGACAAAGAAAAAUACAAUUGCUUAGUUACUAGUAUCGGUGCUUUAGUGAAAAGGACAUUUCGCCACAGUGUUGAUCCCAAUGGUUCAAAAAUACUAACCAAGUCUUUGAUAUAUCAGCCCCUGCUACAGUGGUACUGCGUGAGGCUAGGGGCUGAUAUGCUCAGCAGAAAUGCAUAUGCUGCAUCUCAGGCAGUUGGUUAAACUAAGACUUCAACUCCUUCCUGAAGAGACAUGUAGUGGAGAGGAACAUGACCAGCAGACCAUUCAGGAGAUAGCCUUGCCAGGUUUCUCCUAGGAUAUGCUGUCCUGGAGGAGAUGUCUGGAGGAGAUGUCUGGAGCCUCUAGACACAAUCAUUGGACAAUUCUGUAAACCUCCAAGAGGUUAGGUUCCCUGACUUCCAGUGUUUGCUCUGACUUUGCUCUUGGCUCUCUCUGCUUCCCCAUCUUCUUCAGCCUGCAGUUGGACUGCCCUCUCUUCUGCCUCCUUGCAUGCGUAGAAAGCUCCACUCUAAGGGAUGUACAGAUUCAGAGAAAAAAUGAAUGCUGCUUUGCCCACCUGCUGUUCCACGUGUUAGGGCUUUGCGCAGCAGGAGGGAGUGUGCUAGGCAGGGAGAUGCUGCCAGACUCUGCUCCCAACCCCUCACUGAGUCUUACAGAUGCUGAGUUUGCCCAGGUGGGUUUUCACGGUCUUUAGGAGUAGCACAUAAUGGAGUUACCACUCCUCUAGUCCCCAGUUUUGGACUUCUUUCUGCCCUGUGCUGUUCUUCUGUAUAUUUCUCUCCCAAAGGGUAUGUAUCUUCCUGCAUAUACAUUCUAAAAAUAAAAGAAAAUAAACAUAUGUCUUUGGCA